AUGAACGCUAGCGACAGGCCUAACACAUGCAAGUCGAGGGGCAUCGGAAGAAGUGCUUGCACUUCUGCCGGCGACCGGCGCACGGGUGCGUAACGCGUAUGCAACCUACCCUUAACAGGGGGAUAAUCCGAAGAAAUUUGGUCUAAUACCCCAUAAUAUCGAGAGAGGCAUCUUUCUUGGUUGAAAAUUCCGAUGGUUAAGGAUGGGCAUGCGUUGUAUUAGCUAGUUGGUGAGGUAACGGCUCACCAAGGCUACGAUACAUAGGGGGACUGAGAGGUUUACCCCCCACACUGGUACUGAGACACGCACCAGACUCCUACGGGAGGCAGCAGUGAGGAAUAUUGCUCAAUGGACGCAAGUCUGAUCCAGCCAUGCCGCGUGCAGGAUGACGGCUCUAUGAGUUGUAAACUGCUUUUAUACGAGGGUAAACCC
rnacentral:rRNA from 1 species